rnacentral:lncRNA from 1 species
CGUGUCUACCAAUUUCACCAUAGCGGCCUGUCUUGAACUCAUAAUAGCCUAUGAAUAAGCAAUCGUCGAGAUUGAUGAAGCUAUUUUAGUUUAGUAAUGAUACAAAUGGAUCAAUAACAAUAAUAAAGUUGUUCAAAUAGGAGUUUGAAGUUGAAGGUUCAUUAUUAUAGAUUUUAGUUUAAAGUCUUAGUUUUUUUUAUUUAACCUGGGACUUUCCUAUAUUUUAUGCUUUCCUCGAAUUGGACUCUUGUAACUAAACCGUUCUAUACUCAAUUAAGGAAUAGAGUUCCAAAAUUUUUGUUUUCAUUGUUUAAUCAGCUAUUUCCUAUUUAUUUUAUUAGUUUACUAAUGAUACAAAUGGAUCAAUAACAAUAAUAAAGUUGUUCAAAUAGGAGUUUGAAGUUGAAGGUUCAUUAUUAUAGAUUUUAGUUUAAAGUCUUAGUUUUUUUUAUUUAACCUGGGACUUUCCUAUAUUUUAUGCUUUCCUCGAAUUGAACUCUUGUAACUAAAGAAGAAUUCUGGGCAGUUAAUUGAUAAGUGUUACAAACUUCAUGGAUUUCCACAAAGCACCAUGUUUAACAAAGGGAAGAGAACUGUUGCUGCCCAUGUAACCACUGGUGCUGAUUUCACCUCCUUCCCCUCUUCUGAUGGAUACACUUCUAAUGCUCCUGGAAAUCACAUAGAGGGUAAUUCAUCUGUCCCAAAUGUGGAUGGACAUGGUUCUGUAAUCCCUGGAUUGAGAGUUUUUGUGUCAACUGCUGCCCAUGUAACCACUGGUGCUGAUUUCACCUCCUUCCCCUCUUCUGAUGGAUACACUUCUAAUGCUCCUGGAAAUCACAUUGAGGGUAAUUAAUUUGUCCCAAAUGUGGAUGGACAUGGUUCUGUAAUCCCUGGAUUGAGUAGGCAACAUUAUGAUCAAUUGAUGACUCUGCUGCAACAGUUCAAGUUGGGUGACUCCACUGCUCAGACCUCUCCUCCUAUGUGUGCUGCCAAUUUUGCUGGUACUUUUGUUCUUCGCUUCUGUAUGCUCCAUUUCUGAUUCUUGUACUCAUGUUUGUUAUUCUGACCUUAAAUCUGUUGUUUUGAAUUCCAAUGUAAAUAGUUCCAUUUGUAAUAAUAAAACUGAUGCAAAUGACAUGAAUUACAUUUGGCAUUUAAGACUGGCUCACCUUAAUUCUGUUGCUUUGAAUUCCAAUGUAAAUAGUUCCAUUUGUAAUAAUAAAACUGAUGCAAAUGAAAUAAAUUACAUUUGGCAUUUAAGACUGGCUCACAUUCCAUUUGCAAGCAUGAAACACAUUUCUGCUUUGUCUUUUCCUUUUGCUUCGAAACAACCAUUUCCCCGUUCUGUUUGUCCCAUGGCUAGACAAACUAGACUUCCUUUUCCUGAUAGUUCAAUCAGUACCAGUAGACCUUUCCAACUGAUUCAUGUAGACACCUGGGGCCUUUAUCACACACCCACCUCUUCUGGCUCAAGGUACUUUCUUACUAUAGUUGAUGAUUUUUCAAGAGCAACCUGGACACAUUUACUGGGGUCGAAAAACAAUGCUUUCAGCCUUCUUAAGUCCUUUUUGUGUAUGGUUAAGACUCAAUUAAAUGCUAUUAUACAAACUAUCAGAAGUGAUAAUGCUUUGGAAUUGGGGUCUAGUCUUGCUGGUAUUUCUUUCUUCAAUCAACAGGGCAUUAUUCAUCAAGCUACAUGUCCCCACACUCCUCAACAAAAUUGUGUUGUAGAAAGAAAACAUAGGACCCUCAUUGAAGCCUGUAGAGCUUUACUUUUUCAAUCCAAAUUGCCUAUCCAUUUUUGGGGGGAUUGUUUAUUGACUGCUACCUACUUGCUUAAUAGGAUUCCAUCCAGAAUCCUUCACAAUAAAUCCACUUAUGAAAUAUUGUAUGGGAAUGCCCCCCAAAUUACCUAUCCAUCUUUGGGGGGAUUGUUUAUUGACUGCUACCUACUUGCUUAAUAGGAUUCCAUCCAGAAUCCUUCACAACUAAUCCCCUUAUGAAAUAUUGUAUGGGAAGGCCCCUACUUAUUUAAGGGCAUUUGGUUGUCUUGCCUAUGCCACUGUACCUAUCCCACAGAGAGAUAAGCUGAAACCUAGAGCUAUUUCCUGUGCUUUUCUGGGAUAUCCCUUUGCCAAAAAGGGUUACAGGCUAUAUGACCUAACUACUAAGAAGUGUUUUGUGUCCAGUGAUGUUAUUUUUCAUGAAACCUGCUUUCCUUUUGACUCUGCUUUUGCUGUUACCUCUGGUUCUUCUGCUUUUCCUUCUCGUUUUGUUUCUUCCCCUGAUGUUUCCAGGGAUGUUAUUUUUCAUGAAAAUUGUUUUCAUUUUGACUCUGCUUCUGCUGUUACCUCUGGUACUUCUGUUUUUCCUUCUCCUUCUGUCUCUUCCCCUGAGCAUCCUACUCUGAGAUUGAUCUGUCUGUUCCCCUUUGCCCUUCUCCUUCUGCUUCUUUUCCUUCUACUUCCAGUCCUGUUCCCUCUUCCCUUUCUUCCUCCCUACUUUCUAAUCUUAGCCAUUCUGCCUCCAGUAAUCUUUUCAAUCCUGAUACUUCUCCUCCUGCUAUUUCUUCCUCUGCUGCCCCUACUGGUCACAGAAGCUCUGGCAGGCAACAUAAUCCUCCCUCUUAUCUCAAUGAUUAUGUUUGUCACUUACCUUCUUUUUCUGGCUCUUCCUCCUCUUCUUCUCCUUUGGAAUAUGAACCCCUCUAUUAUUCUCAAGCAGCAUCAGUCCCAGCUUGGCAGGAGGCCAUGAUCCUCUCUAUUAUUCUCAAGCUGCAUCAGUCCCAGCAUGGCAGGAUGCCAUGAGCAAGGAGUUUGACGCUUUGGAUGCCAAUCAUACUUUGGAUAUUGUUCCCCUCCUUCCUGGUAAGAGGCCUAUAGGCUGCAAAUGGGUUUAUAAUAAACAUAAGGCUGAUGGUAGUGUUGAAAGAUACAAGUCUAGUCCUCCUGGUAAGUAUCCCAUAGGCUGCAAAUGGGUUUAUAAAAUUAAAUAUAAGGCUGAUGCUAGUGUUGAAAGAUACAAGGCUAGGCUUGUCAUUAGGGGUGACACUCAAACUGAAGGUGUUGAUUUCACAGAAACAUUUUCCCAUGUGGUCAACAUGUCUACUGUUAAAUGCUUAAUUGUUGUGGCUGUUAAGAAACAUUGGGGUCUCUUUCAACUUGAUGUUAAUAAUGCCUUCUUGCAUGGUGACCUUGAUGAGGAGGUCUAUAUGAAGCUCCCUCCAGGUUUGUGUGUUUCUGCCUCUUCUGAUCCCUCUGUUUCUGCACCUCUUGUGUGCAAGUUACAAAAAUCUCUUUAUGGAUUGAGACAGGCUUCCAGGCAGUGGUAUGCCAAAUUGUCUCAUGCUCUAUACUCCAGAGGCUAUUUCCAUUCUAUGAAUGACUACUCUUUAUUUCUCAAGGGCCAGCCUGGGUGUCUUGUGGUUCUGGUAGUGUAUGUGGAUGACAUUAUUAUCACUGGAGAUGAUGUUGUUGAACUUUCUGCCCUCAAUCUCUUCCUGGAUGACCAAUUCAGAAAAGGCUCCCAGAGUACCUCACAUGUCUGCUGCCCUACAUGUUCUUAGGUAUCUUAAGGGCUCUAUGGAUUUGGGGCUCUUCUACUCUGACAGUCCUGAUUUUUCAGUGACUGCCAUUUCAAACAGUGACUGGGCAGCUUGCCCUGACACUCGCAGAUCUGAAACUAGUUUUUGUGUGAUUUUGGGUGACAGCCUGGUCAGUUGGAACAGUCCUUAUUUUUCAGUGACUGCCUUUUCAAACAGUGACUGGGCAGCUUGCCCUGACACUCGCAGAUUUGUUACUGGUUUCUGUGUGAUUUUGGGUGACAGCCUGGUCAGUUAGAAGUCCAAGAAACAGCCAGUGAUCUCUCUAUCCUCUGCUGAGGCAGAAUACAGGGCACUCAGUAAGUGGUUGCUGAACUAUCUUGACUUUCUCGCUUGCUCACUGAUCUUGGUGUUUCUGUUUCCUUUCCUUUUUCUGUUUUUUGUGAUAAUCAGGCUGCCCUCCAUAUUGCUAAGAAUCCAGUUUUUCAUGAGCGGACCAAGCAUAUUGAGGUCGAUCGUCAUUUUGUUC